rnacentral:rRNA from 1 species
AUACGGAGGGGACUAGCGUUGUUCGGAAUUACUGGGCGUAAAGCGUACGUAGGCGGAUCGGAAAGUAAGGGGUGAAAUCCCAGGGCUCAACCCUGGAACUGCCUCUUAAACUCCCGGUCUUGAGUUCGAGAGAGGUGAGUGGAAUUCCUAGUGUAGAGGUGAAAUUCGUAGAUAUUAGGAGGAACACCAGUGGCGAAGGCGGCUCACUGGCUCGAUACUGACGCUGAGGUACGAAAGUGUGGGGAGCAAACAGGAUAAGAAACCCUUGUAGUCC